UACGGAGGGUGCAAGCGUUGUUCGGAAUCACUGGGCGUAAAGCGUGCGCAGGCGGCUUUGCAAGACAGAUGUGAAAUCCCCGGGCUUAACCUGGGAACUGCAUUUGUGACUGCAUGGCUAGAGUGCGGCAGAGGGGGAUGGAAUUCCGCGUGUAGCAGUGAAAUGCGUAGAUAUGCGGAGGAACACCGAUGGCGAAGGCAAUCCCCUGGGCCUGCACUGACGCUCAUGCACGAAAGCGUGGGGAGCAAACAGG
rnacentral:rRNA from 1 species